UACGUAGGGGGCAAGCGUUGUCCGGAUUUAUUGGGCGUAAAGAGCGUGUAGGCGGUUAGGUAGGUCCGUUGUGAAAACUCGAGGCUCAACCUCGAGACGCCGAUGGAAACCAUCUAACUAGAGUCCGGAAGAGGAGAGUGGAAUUCCUGGUGUAGCGGUGAAAUGCGUAGAGAUCCGGAGGAACACCGACGGCGCAGGCAGCGUCCUGGCCGCUUGCUGACACUGAGGCACGAAAGCUGGGGGAGCAAACAGG
rnacentral:rRNA from 1 species